UACGUAGGGUCCGAGCGUUAAUCGGAAUUACUGGGCGUAAAGCGUGCGCAGGCGGUUUUGUAAGCCAGAUGUGAAAUCCCCGGGCUCAACCUGGGAACUGCAUUUGGGACUGCAAGGCUUGAGUACGGCAGAGGGGGGUAGAAUUCCUGGUGUAGCAGUGAAAUGCGUAGAUAUCAGGAGGAAUACCGAUGGCGAAGGCAGCCCCCUGGGUCGAUACUGACGCUGAGGAGCGAAAGCGUGGGGAGCAAACAGG
rnacentral:rRNA from 1 species